AGCAAUGCCCACAGCAGCGAAUCAGAAAUGCCUGUGUAUGUGUAAGUCUGAUCUCGGUGUUUGAUGUCACACAGGUUUGUUUAUGCACGAAGAUGAUGCGGCAGAAUUGAAAUGUUUGCUGAAUGAAAUAUUAUUGAAAUAAUGUAGCAGCAGGACUACACUAGGAGCUAGCUUUUGCAUUCGGCUGUUUGGUUGUACUACGAGCAUUCAAGAAUACGACUGUUCGGGAUAAAUCAUGAUUCACUUCAGUAAACAGAGUCAAGAUAUCAUUGUUUCUUUGGUUCUUGCAAUUGUCGUUUUGGCAGUGUGGGCCCAUGUCAUCAUCGCUGGAAGGACCGCAGCCCUACGGGUGUACCCAGAGCUUGGUCAACCACCUGCCUGAACAAAGACUCCUUGCACUAGUACCCCCUCAAUGGUGAAAAUGAGCCCGAGUACCGGCUUUUGAAGGACCAUUGGGCACCAUACCGGUGUGUUUUGCUUGUUUAAACAAUGGACAGUGUGUGUGGGAACCAGCGAAGUGUCCUUCACAAGCUCUCCUUGCUGGAAUCAACAGCGCCCUCUGUUGUACAUGCACCGAGUCCUCAGGUGUGUGUUUGACACAUGAAGACAGCAAUGAAUUCAACCCAUCGGUUCAUCAAAACCAACAAAGUGUCCUUCACAGGCUCUCCUUGCUGGACUCAACAGCGCCCUCUGUUGUACAUGCACUGAGUCCUCAGGUGUGUGUUUGACACAUGAAGACAGCAAUGAAUUCAGCCCAUCGGUCCGUCAAAACCAGCAAUUGUCCUUCCUUGCUAGGUUCAACAGCGCCCUCGUUUGCUGAUUCACAGUAAUGCUUGACACUUGAUGACAGCCAUGAUUUCAGCCAACAGUUCCAUCUGUGAUUUGCUCUUCGGGGAAGUGUUCAUCAAAAGAAUGACUCACUUCAUCAUUAAUCAGUCAAUAUCUGAGUGACUGUUGCUGAUGAAAUUUAGUAUGUGCAAGAUGAUUAGAACAUGUACAUGUAUGUGCAAGAUUGAGUUUUGCCCGUCACAUAUGUAGUUUCAUGAGCACUAUAAACAGUGCUGUUGGAGAGCUUGCGUAGAAUUCCCAAGGUUGCAAGGGUGGGAUUUGAACCUAUGACGAAAUCAUGUACAUUUUGUCCACUGGGCCCUUGAAGAUUUUUGAGUGUUAUUUAUGUUUAAAAAUCCAAUUAAUGUGUUUCUUUGGAAAUGUGUGUUUUGUAGCUGAUGCUUCAUGAAGAAUAAAAAAGAAAUUUGCAAUGAACACAU